UGCCAGCCGCCGCGGUAAUACGGAGGGUGCAAGCGUUGUUCGGAAUUAUUGGGCGUAAAGAGCAUGUAGGCGGACUGUUAAGUCUGAUGUGAAAGCCCGGGGCUCAACCUCGGAACUGCAUCCGAUACUCCCAGACUAGAAUACCGGAGGGGCAUCUGGAAUUCACGGUGUAGCAGUGAAAUGCGUAGAUAUCGUGAGGAACACUAGUGGCGAAGGCGAGAUGCUGGACGGUUAUUGACGCUCAGACACGAAGGCCAGGGUAGCGAAAGGGAUUAGAUA
rnacentral:rRNA from 1 species